rnacentral:rRNA from 1 species
GACGAACGCUGGCGGCGUGCUUAACACAUGCAAGUCGAACGGAAAGGCCUGCUUUCCCUUGUGGAUUGCGGGUACUCGAGUGGCGAACGGGUGAGUAACACGUGAGUGAUCUGCCCCCAACUUGGGUAUAAGCCUGGGAAACUGGGUCUAAUUCCCGAUAGGACUGCAGGGUGGUGCCUGUGGUGGAAAACGAUUUUCUAGUGGUUGGGGAUGAGCUCGCGGCCUAUCAGCUUGGUGGUGGGGUAAUGGCCUACCAAGGCGGCGACGGGUAGCCGGCCUGAGAGGGUGGACGGCCACAUUGGGACUGAGAUACGGCCCAGACUCCUACGGGAGGCAGCAGUGGGGAAUAAUGCACAAGGGGCGGAAGCCUGAGGCAGCGACGCCGAGUGAGGGAUGGCGGCCUUCGGGUUGUAAACUCCUUUCGACCGCGAGGAAGCCACCUGGUUGGAAGGGUGGUGACGGUAGUGGUAGAAGAAGCACCGGCUAACUACGUG